rnacentral:antisense_RNA from 1 species
CUUGACCGAGCCCAGCAGCAGCGGCCGGUCCUGCGGGCGCUGCCGGCCGUACGUGGCCAGCAGGGCCUGCGCCUC